CUCUGCACAGUGGGGGCCGAUGGGCGGCUCCUUGCUUUCUCGCCCCUCUUUUCUCUUCAGAUUUGAAGAUGAACCGAGAGUUUUUGGAACAAAACAGCCAGAAAGAUGUGCUCUGUGUCACUUGUCCUGGAAGAGUAUGGCUCAUCAUUGUCUUUCUCCAGGAUCCCACCAAGCAGCCCCCAGAAAAAUGAAAGUGUGCAAGUUUUCUAAUGAAUAUUGGGUACCAUGGAGAACAGAGGGAGG